AUUCUUUCGCAGAGGCACAUAUUGUAGCGAUGAGGUUUAUCCGAGGCGCCAUCAUUGCUGGUUGAAAACUUUACCCAAUACCCCGCCAGAUGACUUGAAAUACAGUCAGCCUCGCAAAUUUUUGCCAGCUUCUGUGGAAG
ensembl:snRNA U4 U4 spliceosomal RNA